CUUUCUAUUCUUCCACGGCUUUCUUGAACUGCAUGGGUUUUGAUCUAUCAGAUCUGUGUUUUAUCAUAUUGUCUUUGCGGUUCAAUAAAGCUGUGGGAAGAUAGAGACA
rnacentral:pre_miRNA from 2 species